AGACACUUCCACCCACAAAGCUGCUGUAUGGACACUUCAUUGUCUCCUGGUACAAACUGCACUCCAGAGAAAUGACACAAAAUAGUCCACUCUGCAGGAAGACCAGAGUGGCUCCGUUUCAAGCUGCAUCCGGACCUCCAGCUUCCACCGAGGGCAGAACUCACCUUCCUGGAUGUCCUUAGCACACGAAGAGCUGAAUUUGCAAGGAAGAGAUGGUCCCUGAGAAGUGCAGAGGCAGGAGUGCGUUGCAGAGGAAGAACACUGAAGGAAGGAGCCGACGUGAGUAAAGCUGGAUCAGUUCCCUGAGCUGGAUGACAGACUGAUUUCACAACUAGAUGGGCCAGCACAGGAAGGACUGUGGUGCAUGGAAGAAGCAACGUGGAGGGAGUCCUGGAUUGUUGGAAACCACAAUUGCCUCAAAACUGGCCGUAACAUGAAUCCGCAG